GAUGAACGCUGGCGGCGUGCUUAACACAUGCAAGUCGAACGAAGCACCUUAGACAGAAGCCUUCGGGCGGAAGACUUUGGUGACUUAGUGGCGGACGGGUGAGUAACGCGUGGGUAACCUGCCCUGUACCGGGGGACAACAGUUGGAAGCGACUGCUAAUACCGCAUAAGCGCACAGCAUCGCAUGAUGCAGUGUGAAAAACUCCGGUGGUACAGGAUGGACCCGCGUCUGAUUAGCUAGUUGGUGAGGUAACGGCUUACCAAGGCAACGAUCAGUAGCCGACUUGAGAGAGUGAUCGGCCACAUUGGGACUGAGACACGGCCCAGACUCCUACGGGAGGCAGCAGUGGGGAAUAUUGCACAAUGGGGGAAACCCUGAUGCAGCGACGCCGCGUGAAGGAAGAAGUAUUUCGGUAUGUAAACUUCUAUCAGCAAGGAAGAAAAUGACGGUACUUGACUAAGAAGCCCCGGCUAAAUACGUGCCAGCCGCCGCAGUAA
rnacentral:rRNA from 1 species